rnacentral:tRNA from 1 species
GGGACCGUGGUGUAGGGGUAAGCGUGGUUGCCUCUCACCCAGCCGUCUUGAGUUCGAUCCCAGACGGUCCCG